CCCACUUCCCCAGGCCCCUUAAGCCAGAGCCGCAGCCUCUCUGACCUCUCUGCUGGCUCCCCCCAGACUAACCAAGCCCCUGUGCCCCCAGCUGCCUCUGGCAGCAGUGGCAGCUCCACGUCCGAGCUCUCAGAGCUUGAGGAGCCAGUGAAGAGCCCGGUCUCCCUCCCAGGGGAGCUCAGGCGUGAGCCCCCACCUCCUGCCCACCGGACCCUCUCAGACCCGCAGUCGGCACGGCACCGCAAGCUGACGCUGGCGCAGCUGUACCGGAUCCACGCCACGCUGAUGCUCAACUCCACGCUGACGGCCUCGGAGGUCUGAGAGCCGCCGGCAUGGAAAGCACAGAUGCGCAGAUGCACCAAGGAGCUGCUCCUGCUUCUAACCAUAGCGUAAUGCCAGGGCUGGGCAGAGCGAGCACUGGGAUGCCACGCUGGUGGGGACAUGGAUGGGGAUGCAGACCAGUCCCCUUGGCGAGGACGUGCUCUGGGCACGGCAGCGUGGGGCUGGACAUGGCACAUGGCUUGUGCUGGACCCUUGUCCACAGAGACGAGAGUUGUUGGGCAGGGGGCCCUGGGGCCAUGGGGGGCUGUGGGGGGCUGUGGGGCAGCUCCUGUGGGCGACGAAGGGAUGACAAUGUCGGCAAUGGUGAGUGGGGAAGAUGCUGAGAGGGAUGCAGUGCCAGUGGCAUGGUGCUGCAGGUGGUGCAGGGAGGAGGCUGGGGCUAGUGGCAGAAGGGGGUGGUGCAGGGCUGGGGUGGGUUUGCCCUGUGUGGUGGCAGUAGGUGGCAGUGCCCAAGGCCAGAGUAUGAGAGUUGUGGAGGGCUGGCGCUCACUCACCACGCGUUGUGUGCUGCUGGCGGUGGCCAUGGGGUGCCGGGGCACCCUGCCUGGGCACUGAGCUGCCCUGACAC
rnacentral:lncRNA from 1 species